AGAGAAUCAUGACUUAUCUUUUCUUCUCCAAUCCUUCCCAUCCAAUCUCUCUUUGUUGUCUUCUCUUCUACUUCUUGCCUUCCCCCACAUCGCCUCCCCGCACCGCACUGCCUCCAGCCUUCCCCCACGCGCCUCCGUACCGCCUCCGCUGCCCGUGGCAACGCACUGACAUCUCCGCUGCCGUUUCCAUCCCGGAGUUCGUCCAACCCCGACAUUCUCCCAUGUCUAGGACUCCACCCCUAUUCAAUGGCGUGAUGGGCUGCCUUGUGGUGCGUCGGCUCUCGCCCGCGAAGGUGCGGGCCGCCGGGACAAGGAGGUGGCCAUGGCCAACUCCACGGAACGAAUGUCCUCCUUGUGUUGGAGUGCACGUCCGACGAGGUCGACGGUUGCGAGAGCCAUCUUAGGGGCGUCCGCGAGUGCGCCGCUCAGGGAAGCUGUGUUCUUCUUCACCGAUAACCACAACCCCGGAUGAAGUAGCACGGAAAGAACUGUGAGUCGCCUUUCUUGCUAUUUUUCUCGUUGCUUGAUCUGAUUGCAUAAUUCCAGGAAAUAAUUUCUUGGUCUGAUUGUGUGCAGAUUUAGUUUUUAUUAUGAGUGCCAUCUCUGCUAUCAUGUCUCUUCUGUAACAAUCAAAUGGCAUGCCAAUCCUUUCAAAUUAUGGAGUACAAAAUCUAGAUUCAUGAAAUACGCUCCAGCUAUGCUGCAAGACUAGAUUAUGCGGUACAAAAUCUAUACUCAUGAAAUACGCUCCAUGCUACAAGAAUAGAUAAUUUCAGGAGCUAUGAUGCAGUGAGCAAAGAUAUAAUAGAAAGAUGGACAUACCCUAUGUGUCUGAUGUGUUAUCCUUUGGUAACUCUGAUGUAAUGAAACUUCACAGGCAUGGAUUCUAAGGCAUAAGGUAUGCGUAGUUGCAUACUGUAAGGAGUCACAAAGAUUUAUUUUUGUACCUUGUUUGAUAUCGUUCCUUGAUUCAUUAUUCAAAAUCUAGAUGAAUUUAUCAAAUCAAUAUGUUUAAUUUGGAGUGAAGAGUGAAGAAUAUUAAUUCGUAGUAUUAUUAAAAUGCUUUGUUUAAGGUACAUGGACUGUUUUAAUCUAUGACUUUUGGGCAUGAAUUUUUACCUAUCAUUUAGGUCUAUAGGUAUGUAAUCUUUGAUUCUUGUAAAUAAUAUAACAUCACUUUACAUAUUAAUUGUUCACAUCUGUCACAUCUUCUCUAGAUGUUACAUUGUCGCAUUCUGCACAAAUAUGUGCAAAUUCUGUUAUUGGCAAUGCUACAAGUAUUGGAGAACAGUGUAAGAUAUCAAAUUCUUGGGGAAGCUUGGAGUAUUGGUAAAAGCGUUCUCAUUCACCACUACCCAAUCAUCAUAUCUGAACAUCAUGACUUAGGGGCAUCUGAGGUAUUCCUCUAUUCUUAGUUGGUUACAUAUGGGCAAGUGGUGAUACUGGGAUUCAGGAGGAGUGGAGACAAUCAAUUGCUUCGAUUCCUAAAGAAAAACUUCAAGAGUUGCAGCAUCCUGUUUCUUUUGACGACCAAGAAGGAUCAGAAGAAGACUUGAACAACCGUCCAUCUGAAGCAGACCGUAACAAUGAUUCUGAGAUCAGCGUGGUUGAGGAUGAUGAUUAUACUAAGUUUGAGAAAUGGAUCGAAGAGAUGUUCCAAGAGGCACUUGAUGGGGUUCAUCAAGAUAAUUUUAUACAAAUCAAUGCACUCAGGUAUAAAUUUCUGCAUAUUUUGAGUUGAGGCAAAAAGGAAGUUAUAGGAUAUGUUUGUAGCUUUCCAACAAUAUCGUAUUUGAGUUUGGUCAGUGAAGCAAGAGUUGCACCCAAAAUAAAUUUAUGUCUGACAUUUAUUUCAUAGUGAUUGUUAUCUGUUUUGAAGAUUUAAGCCACGAGGAUGUCAUAAUUAAAUUAUGGCUACAACCUGAAAUUUGUAGUUGUAGAUAACCAUGUUGGUAUCUUUUGUUGUGUUUGGUCAAGCAAAAUUAAAGAGAUGGAGGCAUCAUCGAGGAAACAACAAGUAAACGGAUUAAGGUAGAAAAAUUCUUUAUAGUAUUAGUUGCUAAAAAAUAAAUUUAUUGAUGACUAUGGUUACUAUAGUGAUUCCAAUAUUGUGCUCGCCUUGCUAAACACUGUGAAGCAAAGGAAAGCCACAAGACCAAAUGUUCCCCUCAACCUGAAGAUGUGAAGUAGACUGCUGCUCCCGGUAUAUGUGUUGCUUCCGCUGGAUGAUGCUCUGUUGCCGUUGUUGCCUGAUCACUCCCAACUGUCGUGUUCUUCCCUUCUCUUGCUAUUCGAUGAAGUUGUUCAUGCUGCUAGCUUUGCGUGAGAGUCUCUAUCUCAUAUUUGAUAAAUUCAGUUUUGGUCUAUACACGUGUUUGUACCCAGGUCCAAGAUCUGGUUGAUGAUAUUGUUUUGACUAAUAAUGAUCUGAUUAUUCAUACCUUUUUUUGGACAUAUGUGUAUGUAAGUAUACAUUAUUAAGUACUGGGAAAAAGAGGGGGGAUUUAUUAU